CGGGUGAGUAAUGCGUGACCAACCUGCCCCAUGCUCCAGAAUAGCUCUUGGAAACGGGUGGUAAUGCUGGAUGCUCCAACUUGACGCAUGUCUUGUUGGGAAAGUGUUUAGUGGCAUGGGAUGGGGUCGCGUCCUAUCAGCUUGUAGGCGGGGUAAUGGCCCACCUAGGCUUCGACGGGUAGCCGGCCUGAGAGGGCGGACGGCCACAUUGGGACUGAGAUACGGCCCAGAUCCUACGGGAGCAGCAGAC
rnacentral:rRNA from 1 species